UACGUAGGGGGCUAGCGUUGUCCGGAAUCAUUGGGCGUAAAGCGCGUGUAGGCGGUCCGGUAAGUCCGCUGUGAAAGUCGGGGGCUCAACCCGUCGGAUGCCGGUGGAUACUGUCGGGCUUGAGUACGGAAGAGGCGAGUGGAAUUCCUGGUGUAGCGGUGAAAUGCGCAGAUAUCAGGAGGAACACCAAUUGCGAAGGCAGCUCGCUGGGACGUUACUGACGCUGAGACGCGAAAGCGUGGGGAGCAAACAGG
rnacentral:rRNA from 1 species